GGCUCUGUGGCGCAAUGGAUAGCGCGUUGGACUUCUAGAUAGGUAAAUGUGAAGUAAUUCAAAGGUUGUGGGUUCGAGUCCCACCAGAGUCG
rfam:Larimichthys crocea isolate SSNF unplaced genomic scaffold scaffold170, whole genome shotgun sequence.